AAACAUUGAUAGUAUAAUACACCCACUAUCCGCCUGGGAACUACGAGCAUUAGCUUAAAACCCAAAGGACUUGGCGGUGCUUUAGAUCCACCUAGAGGAGCCUGUUCUAGAACCGAUAACCCCCGUUCAACCUCACCUUUCCUUGUUUUUCCCGCCUAUAUACCGCCGUCGUCAGCUUACCCUGUGAAGGUCAAAUAGUAAGCAAAACUGGUAGAACCCAAAACGUCAGGUCGAGGUGUAGCGUAUGGGAAGGGAAGAAAUGGGCUACAUUCGCUAGCAUAGCGAAUACGGACGAUGCACUGAAACGUACAUCUGAAGGAGGAUUUAGCAGUAAGCAGGAAAUAGAGUGUUCC
rnacentral:rRNA from 1 species